rnacentral:rRNA from 1 species
UACAGAGGGGCAAGCGUUGUUCGGAAUUACUGGGCGUAAAGGGCGCGUAGGCGGCCUGCUAAGUCGAACGUGAAAUCCCCGAGCUCAACUCGGGAACUGCGUCCGAUACGUGACAGGCUUGAAUCCGGGAGAGGGAUGCGGGAAUUCCAAGGUGUAGCGGGUGAAAUGACGUAGAUAUCUGGAGGAACACCGGUGGCGAGGCGGCAUCCUGGACCGGCAUUGACGCUGAGG